GCUCAUGUCCCUCCCAGUCAGUCUCAGCUCGAGUCCCUCCCAGUCAGUCUCAGGUCAAGUCCCUCCCAGUCAGUCUCAGGUCAAGUCCCUCCCAGUCAGUCUCAGGUCAUGUCCCUCCCAGUCAGUCUCAGCUCGAGUCCCUCCCAGUCAGUCUCAGCUCGAGUCCCUCCCAGUCAGUCAGUUAUGAUCCUUCUUUUCCUGCUUCUCCUUCUUUUCUAAGCUGGUAACACACCCCAGAAAAUAUGCAGUUAUCCAUUUCCUCUAAAGAAUGGAGAAUGUCCAAUAAAUCAAUGAAUCCCUGCUGUUACCAUGGCCGUGGGUUAGUGUAUAGAUACAGUAGAGGCAAACCUAACUCACUAAGCUAGGGAGUGAGG
ensembl:lncRNA